UACGGAGGGUGCGAGCGUUGUCCGGAAUCAUUGGGCGUAAAGAGCUCGUAGGCGGCUCAGCAAGUCGGUCGUGAAAACCCGGGGCUCAACCCCGGGAGGCCGGUCGAUACUGCUGUGGCUAGGGUCCGGUAGAGGAGAGUGGAAUUCCCGGUGUAGCGGUGGAAUGCGCAGAUAUCGGGAGGAACACCAGUAGCGAAGGCGGCUCUCUGGGCCGGUACCGACGCUGAGGAGCGAAAGCUAGGGGAGCAAACAGG
rnacentral:rRNA from 1 species